CGCGGCCUAUCAGCUUGUUGGUGAGGUAAUGGCUCACCAAGGCUUCGACGGGUAGCCGGCCUGAGAGGGUGACCGGCCACACUGGGACUGAGACACGGCCCAGACUCCUACGGGAGGCAGCAGUGGGGAAUAUUGGACAAUGGGCGAAAGCCUGAUCCAGCAACGCCGCGUGAGGGAUGACUGCCUUCGGGUUGUAAACCUCUUUCAGCGGGGACGAAGCGAAAGUGACGGUACCCGCAGAAGAAGCACCGGCCAACUACGUGCCAGCAGCCGCGGUAAUACGUAGGGUGCGAGCGUUGUCCGGAAUUAUUGGGCGUAAAGGGCUCGUAGGCGGUUUGUCACGUCGGGAGUGAAAACUCGGGGCUUAACCCCGAGCUGGCUUCCGAUACGGGCAGACUAGAGGUAUGCAGGGGAGAACGGAAUUCCUGGUGUAGCGGUGAAAUGCGCAGAUAUCAGGAGGAACACCGGUGGCGAAGGCGGUUCUCUGGGCAUUACCUGACGCUGAGGAGCGAAAGUGUGGGGAGCGAACAGGAUUAGAUACCCUGGUAGUCCACACCGUAAACGUUGGGCGCUAGGUGUGGGACUCAUUCCACGAGUUCCGUGCCGCAGCUAACGCAUUAAGCGCCCCGCCUGGGGA
rnacentral:rRNA from 1 species